GAUGAAGAACGUAGCGAAAUGCGAUAAGUAAUGUGAAUUGCAGAAUUCAGUGAAUCAUCGAAUCUUUGAACGCACAUUGCGCCCGCCAGUAUUCUGGCGGGCAUGCCUGUUCGAGCGUCAUUUCAACCAUCAAGCCCUGUGCUUGUGUUGGGGGCCUGCGGCUGCCGCAGCCCCCUAAAAGCAGUGGCGGGCUCGCUGUCAUUCCGAGCGCAGUAACUUAUCUCGCUUUGGUCGUGGCGGUGGGCACCUGCCGUAAAACACUCUUUUUCACAAGGUUGACCUCGGAUCAGGUAGGAAUACCCGCUGAACUUAAGCAUAUCAAUAAGCGGAGGA
rnacentral:misc_RNA from 1 species